rnacentral:rRNA from 1 species
UACGGGAGGCAGCAGUGGGGAAUAUUGCACAAUGGGCGCAAGCCUGAUGCAGCCAUGCCGCGUGUAUGAAAAAGGCCUUCGGGUUGUAAAGUACUUUCAGUCGUGAGGAAGGUGUUAAGGUUAAUAACCUUAGCAAUUGACGUUAGCGACAGAAGAAGCACCGGCUAACUCCGUGCCAGCAGCCGCGGUAAUACGGAGGGUGCGAGCGUUAAUCGGAAUUACUGGGCGUAAAGGGCACGCAGGCGGUUAAUUAAGUUGGAUGUGAAAUCCCCGGGCUUAACCUGGGAAUGGCAUUCAAGACUGGUUAGCUAGAGUCUUGUAGAGGGGGUAGAAUUCCAUGUGUAGCGGUGAAAUGCGUAGAGAUGUGGAGGAAUACCGGUGGCGAAAGGCGGCCCCUGGACAAAGACUGACGCUCAUGCGCGAAAGCGUGGGGAGCAAAACAGGGAUUAGAUACC